UUUCCUUCAUUCCUUUCCUUCCCGUGUGCCGCGCGCCCGAAGCCCUCUCCCCUUGCCCUAACCGGCACCGGGCGGUUUCUUCUUCUCCUCUCAUUGGAUUUCUUCUCUGCCGCACCGACCUCCGAUCACAGUCAACACUGAGCCCUAGCCCCGGCUGACCCGCGAUUUCCUUUCUUCACCGGUCGUCUCCUCCUCUUCGCCGAGACCCCCUCCUCUUUCCCAAGCGCCGACGACGAUCUGCCACCGCCGAUCGCUAGCCACUCCUCACCGUGCCCUAGUCUUCUCUUUUCGUGCCACUACCACAGCUGGCACCGCACGAAACAGUGGCGACCCAGCGCCGCCGGUCCAAAGAACCCUAGCGCCGAUCGUUUCCUCUGCCCUAGAGCAGUCGCCACCCUUCCUUUGCCUGGAUCGUUGCCAGUGUCUGAGGUAUAACCGUGCCCUAGAUUUCCACUGGCGAGUCUUCUAUUUCUACACGACCACUGAUUAAGCCAGCGCCGGUUGUUGUUCACCAGGUUCUGCUGGGCCAUCUAUUCGCUUUUCUGGUGGAUCUAAUCGCAUUGCAAGUUGUGGCUUUCCUCAGUUCCGACCUUUCCAUUGUGGAUCGGGUUUGUUGCCAUCAUAGACGGCUGAAGGAGAGGUAGAGGACUUUGAUUUGAGACAGUAUAUCGAUGAGUAUCUCGAUUAUCGGAUUGGCCUUUUCGAUUUGGAGGCGGGUACU